UUGGUACUCCCUUUGUCCGAAAAAACUUGUUCCAAACUUGUCCCUCAAAUGGAUGUAUCUAGCACUAACUUGGUGCUAGAUACAUUGAUUUAAGGGACAAGCAUUUUUUGGACGGAGGGAGUAGUUU
rnacentral:pre_miRNA from 1 species